CAUGGGAGGAGACGUAUCCUGGGAGCGUGUCU
rnacentral:sRNA from 1 species